UAGCAUGUUUCCAAGAGCUGUGGCUGGUUGUUGCCAUGGGAUCUCCAAUUGCAUACCAGAGUAACUAGAGGGACUUUGACAGGCCAGGUCAACACAGUGCCUGCAGCUGCCACUCAGCUUUCCUGUAUAC